GACGAACGCUGGCGGCGUGCUUAACACAUGCAAGUCGAACGGAAAGGCCCUGCUUUUGUGGGGUGCUCGAGUGGCGAACGGGUGAGUAACACGUGAGUAACCUGCCCUUGACUUUGGGAUAACUUCAGGAAACUGGGGCUAAUACCGGAUAGGAGCUCCUGCUGCAUGGUGGGGGUUGGAAAGUUUCGGCGGUUGGGGAUGGACUCGCGGCUUAUCAGCUUGUUGGUGGGGUAGUGGCUUACCAAGGCUUUGACGGGUAGCCGGCCCGAGAGGGUGACCGGCCACAUUGGGACUGAGAUACGGCCCAGAAUCCUACGGGAGGCAGCAGUGGGGAAUAUUGCACAAUGGGCGGAAGCCUGAUGCAGCAACGCCGCGUGCGGGAUGACGGCCUUCGGGUUGUAAACCGCUUUCGCCUGUGACGAAGCGUGAGUGACGGUAAUGGGUAAAGAAGCACCGGCUAACUACGUG
rnacentral:rRNA from 1 species